rnacentral:rRNA from 1 species
UACGGAGGGGGCAAGCGUUAUUCGGAAUUAUUGGGCGUAAAGGGCGCGUAGGCGGCUUUGCAAGUGACGGGUGAAAUCCCUCGGCUUAACCGAGGAACUGCCUGUCAGACUGUAAGGCUUGAGACCGGGAGAGGUGAGUGGAAUUCCCAGUGUAGCGGUGAAAUGCGUAGAUAUUGGGAGGAACACCAGUGGCGAAGGCGGCUCACUGGACCGGUACUGACGCUGAGGCGCGAAAGCGUGGGGAGCAAACAGG